rnacentral:miRNA from 1 species
AAAUAAACUGAUCGAGGUGCUU